rnacentral:rRNA from 1 species
UACGAAGGGGGCUAGCGUUGCUCGGAAUCACUGGGCGUAAAGCGCACGUAGGCGGAUUGUUAAGUCAGGGGUGAAAUCCUGGAGCUCAACUCCAGAACUGCCUUUGAUACUGGCGAUCUUGAGUCCGGGAGAGGUGAGUGGAACUGCGAGUGUAGAGGUGAAAUUCGUAGAUAUUCGCAAGAACACCAGUGGCGAAGGCGGCUCACU